UUGAUUUAAUCUUAUAAACACCAGGGAGAAACUCCUUUGGGACUAAAUGUGGACACCAGAAGGAACUGAAAAACCUGUUUGGUGUCAGUUCUGAAGCUGAAUGGCAUCAUCUCUUGCUCAUUUGCAUAGUUUUUUUCCUACAGUCCAUUUCUGUCCUUUAAGAUCAUCAAGAAUACUUGCUCAGUGAAUGAAGGACGAGAGCCUCAGGCAGGACCUACACUGAACAUGGAUAUCUUGCUUUCUCUAUUCUCCCUUCUGCUGCUCUGGAGCCCAGCUACUAGGGGGCUCACAGUGAUGACUCAGUCUCCAGCCUCGGUGUCAGUGUCCCCAGGAGACAGCGUCUCUGUGACUUGCCAUGCUAGUGAGAGUGUAAGUGAUUAUGUGACCUGGUAUCAACACAAACCGGGCCAGCCCCCGAAGAUCCUCAUCUAUGAUGCGGAUAACCAGUAUCCUGGCGUCUCAGAUCGUUUCAUAGGGAUUCAGUCUGGGACAGAAUUCAUUUUCAAAAUCAGCAAAGUAACGGCAAGAAACUUGGCCCUCUCAGAAGUGAGCUUGUUCAAUACGGAGAAGAAGAUGGAAACAGACUCUGAGGCUCUGAUCAAGACAGCAAUGGUUGUCUUCAUGUUGGAUCGUCAGCGAAUCCGACAGCUGCUCACUUUACGAAGCUAG